rnacentral:rRNA from 1 species
UGGGGAAUUUUGGUCAAUGGGCGAAAGCCUGAACCAGCAACGCCGCGUGGGUGAUGAAGGCCUUCGGGUUGUAAAGCCCUGUCGGGAGGGACGAAACCUCCGCGUAACGAGCGGAGCUGACGGUACCUCCAAAGGAAGCACCGGCUAACUCUGUGCCAGCAGCCGCGGUAAUACAGAGGGUGCAAGCGUUGUUCGGAAUUACUGGGCGUAAAGCGCGUGUAGGCGGUCUUACAAGUCUUGUGUGAAAGCCCUGGGCUCAACCCAGGAAGUGCGCAAGAUACUGUUUGACUGGAGUGUCGGAGAGGAUGGCGGAAUUCCCGGUGUAGAGGUGAAAUUCGUAGAUAUCGGGAGGAACACCUGUGGCGAAGGCGGCCAUCUGGACGAUCACUGACGCUGAGACGCGAAAGCAUGGGGAGCAAACAGGAUUAGAUACCCCCGUAGUCC